rnacentral:rRNA from 1 species
AGUAGCGGCGAGUGAAGCGGCAAAAGCUCAAAUUUGAAAUCUGGCUCUUUCAGAGUCCGAGUUGUAAUUUGAAGAAGGUAUCUUUGGGUCUGGCUCUUGUCUAUGUUUCUUGGAACAGAACGUCACAGAGGGUGAGAAUCCCGUGCGAUGAGAUGAUCCAGGCCUAUGUAAAGUUCCUUCGAAGAGUCGAGUUGUUUGGGAAUGCAGCUCUAAGUGGGUGGUAAAUUCCAUCUAAAGCUAAAUAUUGGCGAGAGACCGAUAGCGAACAAGUACAGUGAUGGAAAGAUGAAAAGAACUUUGAAAAGAGAGUGAAAAAGUACGUGAAAUUGUUGAAAGGGAAGGGCUUGAGAUCAGACUUGGUAUUUUGUAUGUUACUUCUUCGGGGGUGGCCUCUACAGUUUAUCGGGCCAGCAUCAGUUUGGGCGGUAGGAGAAUUGCGUUGGAAUGUGGCACGGCUUCGGUUGUGUGUUAUAGCCUUCGUCGAUACUGCCAGCCUAGACUGAGGACUGCGGUUUAUACCUAGGAUGUUGGCAUAAUGAUCUUAAGUCGCCCGUCUUGAAACACGGACCAAGGAGUCUAACGUCUAUGCGAGUGUUUGGGUGUAAAACCCGUACGCGUAAUGAAAGUGAACGUAGGUGGGGGCCCGUAUGGGUGCACCAUCGACCGAUCCUGAUGUCUUCGGAUGGAUUUGAGUAAGAGCAUAGCUGUUGGGACCCGAAAGAUGGUGAACUAUGCCUGAAUAGGGUGAAGCCAGAGGAAACUCUGGUGGAGGCUCGUAGCGGUUCUGACGUGCAAAUCGAUCGUCGAAUUU